UACGUAGGUGACAAGCGUUGUCCGGAUUUACUGGGCGUAAAGAGCGCGCAGGCGGUCGUUCAAGUCGAGUGUGAAAGCCCCCGGCUCAACUGGGGAGGGUCAUUCGAUACUGAUCGACUCGAAGGCAGGAGAGGGAAGUGGAAUUCCCGGUGUAGUGGUGAAAUGCGUAGAUAUCGGGAGGAACACCAGUGGCGAAGGCGGCCAUCUGGACGGAUACUGACGCUGAGACGCGAAAGCGUGGGGAGCAAACAGG
rnacentral:rRNA from 1 species